rnacentral:sRNA from 1 species
ACAACUCCUCCUCUUUUUAAAGCUAAGCUGGUAAUGAAGAAAUGGUGCAAAUAGAUUUACCAAUAAAGAGAUACAGAGAGUAUGAGCUGGUGACUCCAGUCAGCACAAAUCUAGAAGGACGCUAUCUCUCCCAUACUCUUUCUGCGAGUCACAAAAAGAGGUCAGCGAGGGACGUGUCUUCCAACCCUGAGCAGUUGUUCUUUAACAUCACGGCAUUUGGAAAAGAUUUUCAUCUGCGACUAAAGCCCAACACUCAACUAGUAGCUCCUGGGGCUGUUGUGGAGUGGCAUGAGACAUCUCUGGUGCCUGGGAAUAUAACCGAUCCCAUUAACAACCAUCAACCAGGAAGUGCUACGUAUAGAAUCCGGAAAACAGAGCCUUUGCAGAUUAACUGUGCUUAUGUUGGUGACAUCGUGGACAUUCCAGGAACCUCUGUUGCCAUCAGCAACUGUGAUGGUCUGAACUCUGUCAUCACACCUGUGAGACACUCUAGCCACAUGGAGAAGCAAGUCCUUGAGAUAUCCUAGCCCAGGUGCCAAACAUGUGCAUGAGGAUCCACUAAAUGUUUCUAGACCUCAGCCAUUCAAGUCACUUCCAGCUCUUUAGAUCUGUCCAGCUAGUCUUCAGACAUUGUGGAGCAAAGAGAAGCCAUCUGCAUUGUGCCUGUCUGAAAUCCUGACCCAUAGAACCCAGAGAAAACGUGAUGGCUGGAGCUGCAGCAGUCAUCUGGUGAUCAUGAAGGAAAGGCCAUGAGAAUUGCCCAGAUGCCAGCCUCGAUGUCAUUAAGUUGUGGAACCAAUAUCAGUAGCCACUUACUGGACUUCUUGUCACGGCUUCCAUUUCAUGUUAAUAUUGUUGGAGAGCACCAGCAGAUGGUUCUGUGUGGGGAAAGGCUGUGAAUAUUUAAGCUGGUAGCGACAGCAUUGAUGUGACUGAUGAAUAAACCAACACUAGCUCUGGUUAGCCUUUUCCCCAUGACAAAUGUGCAGCCUUGGAUGAGA